UCCAUCCAUCAGAUCCAACUCAGAGGUUGUGAGGAUUAAAUACUGUCCACGUGAAAGCCGCCAGCGCAGUAGCAACACCUGAGCGCUCCGUAAUCAACAGACCCGAAGCUGCGUCUGUGAGCGCGGUGAGCCCGUAGCUGCAGACGAACUGUCAGCAAAAUGCUUCGCAACAACUCUGGGGAUGGGAACCAAAGAGAAUGAACUUGAAUUCAACCAUUUGGUUUGACCUCAACAGAGGCUUGGAAAAGACCCUCAGGCAUCAGAGAGACCUUGUUUCCCAAAGCAGCACAGAAAUUCUGCAGGGUGGUAAAAGAAGAUGGUCAUUGAUAAAAAGACUCUGUGUCAAAUAAGUCUGGAAAAUACUGACUUAAAUGGGUUCCUCUACUCAGGACUUCUCAGAGCCUUUAAUUUGCCAGUGAGAAUUGUGAAUAUUCAGGAUGCAUUUCCCAAAAGUGUCCAUGGAAAUGGUGAUUCAGCCAGCUCUCUGGCAUUAUGGUGAGGAAACUGAGGCACAAGCUCCUAGGGACAGAGCCACCGUGAGUCAAGGUCUCCUGACCCCAGGGUCUGUGCACUAUCCCUGACAUCAGGACUAAGCUGGCUCAUCCUUUUUCUUAUUUUGUUUUUGCAUUGUAACUGGGGGAGGGAGUAGUGGGAAUAGAGAGUUUAUUUAUUUAGCUGUAUUUUAUGUGCUCUGAAGGCCAGAACUUGGGCCAAUGGGUAGAGGUUCCUUUAAGUAGAAUUUCAACUCCAUGCAAGUAAGAACUUUACAAUAAUUAGACCUGUCUGAAUGUGAACUGAGCCUACUGAUGAGGUAGUGAGCUUCCCACUGCAGGAGGUGUCCCAGCCACAGCUGGUUGACCGCUGGGUGGUGUAGUGUGUUGAAUGGUGACCCCCGAAAAGGGAUGUCCACAUUCGAAUCGCCAGAACCUGUGAAUGUGGCCUUAUUUGGAAAAAGAGUCUCUGCAGAUAUAAUGAAGUGAAGGCUGUCAACGUGAGGAGGUCAUCCCAGAUUAUCUGGGUCGGCCCUAAAUCCAAUGACAAGUAUCCUUAUAAGAGGGAGGCAAAGGGAGAGCAUACACCCAGAGGGGAAGCUAUGUGAAGAUGGAGCAGACAGACGCUACCAAAGCUAAGAAUGCUGUAGCCACCGGAAGCUGGAAGAGGCCCCGCCAACCCCUUCAUUUUGGACUUUAGGUCUCCAGAACCGUGAAAGGAUAAAUUUCUGCUGUUUUAGGCCACCGAGUUUGUGGUAAUUUGUUAUGACAGCUACAGGAGACUGAAAGAGGCGAGGGUGCUGCCAAGGAGUGAUAGGCAUGGACGGGUGAGGGAGGCCUCACUUAAUGACCUUUGGGGCCACUCCUGACCCUCUGCCCACCGGUCAUCACCCCUCGAUGACACCUUUGAUUCAGGAUUGGGAAAGCUGUGCCAGGAUUGCCUGUCCCAGGAGGUGGAAGCCAUCAGGGUAUGAGACCAAGUUAGGAAGGGCAAAUGGAAGCAGCUUAGUGGCCAAACCCUGGCUGGGGCUUCGCAUAGCUGCCAGCAAAGGCACCACUUUGGUCUCUUUAGCAGAGUGUCCCUUAAAGUCAAAGAACCCCCAAGCAGCCCCCAGUGGGUCAGGCCAUCUCCACUGAGUGAUCAGAUGGCCUGUCAGGCAAGGCCAUGAGAGGAGCUUCCGUGUCAACCAAGCCGGGUCCACCCUCUGUCCUCGGGUGCCCUGCCUCAGGGACAGAAAUCAGCCCGAUGCCACCCCCCACCCCCACAGAUACACACAGGGAAGGAGGGCCAGACACUCACCCCUGCAUACAGUCCGUUCUCUCACUCUGCCACACGCAUGCACAUUUACACGCACUCAGGGGCUCUGUCGAAACCGCCUCUCUGCCCCGAGACAAGCGAUAACACGCCCGCCUGCCCGUCUCUUCUUGCCUUUAGUCCCUG
rnacentral:lncRNA from 1 species